rnacentral:rRNA from 1 species
CCUUGUAGAGGGGGAUAACUACGCGAAAGUGUAGCUAAUACCGCAUAAGCUGUGGGGAUAACUUUCCUACAGGAAACAUGGGACCGCAAGGCCUAUGACUACGAGAUGAGCUCAUGUCCCAUUAGCUAGUUGGCGGGGUAACAGCCCACCAAGGCACAGAUGGGUAGCUGGUCUGAGAGGACGAUCAGCCACACUGGAACUGAGACACGGUCCAG